rnacentral:rRNA from 1 species
AGUGAACGCUGGCGGUAGGCCUAACACAUGCAAGUCGAACGGCAGCACAGUAAGAGCUUGCUCUUACGGGUGGCGAGUGGCGGACGGGUGAGGAAUACAUCGGAAUCUACUUUUUCGUGGGGGAUAACGUAGGGAAACUUACGCUAAUACCGCAUACGACCUACGGGUGAAAUCAGGGGAUCUUCGCACCUUGCGCGACUGAAUGAGCCGAUGUCGGAUUAGCUAGUUGGCGGGGUAAAGGCCCACCAAGGCGACGAUCCGUAGCUGGUCUGAGAGGAUGAUCAGCCACACUGGAACUGAGACACGGUCCAGACUCCUACGGGAGGCAGCAGUGGGGAAUAUUGGACAAUGGGCGCAAGCCUGAUCCAGCCAUACCGCGUGGGUGAAGAAGGCCUUCGGGUUGUAAAGCCCUUUUGUUGGGAAAGAAAAGCAGCAGGUUAAUACCCCGCUGUUCUGACGGUACCCAAAGAAUAAGCACCGGCUAACUUCGUG